rnacentral:lncRNA from 1 species
GUGAAAGUGAAAGUGUUUUCCUCACACAAGCGACUAACGGACACUAGUAACGGACUCUCAACCCGAGCAGACAGCUGAAAUCCCCAAAGCCAUCAAUUAUCAACAUGGUGCAGCGAGAUUUGCGUGAGCCGAAAUUGUUCAUGAUGGUGUUUGGGAACCCGCUUAACUCUCACCUGACGUUUAUGAACCGACUCAGGCAACGUCUCAGUUACGGUGAAGGGACUUCAAUAGAAGAGAGCGACGUCAUCAUUGCUUUCGUCGCCAUUUCAUCUCGAGCUGGAACAGAUAUUGAAGCUGCUCUUCAGGAAAUUCCACAAGGAUUGGCUCAGUCUAUUUUUCUAGUGGUGCUCCACCACACCUUUGAUGAAAAUUGGGUGAUUCCAGACAGCAGGCGGUCUGUUAACAGGAGGAACGUCUUCACUGUGGACUGCCUGUUUCAUGAAGACCUAGGCUUCCUGAGAUGUCAAAGCAACGACGAGGCUCUGAGAGCAGUUACUGAUCGUCUAAUCUUUUUAGGAGUUUCAGAAAGGUCAACGGGUGACCCAGGCAGGGAGACGAGGAGGCGGACACAAGUGCAGCCUGAGGCAGAUGGUAUCCCUGAAAGACCCAAACCAUUCCCUCGCUGGAUCGCGAAAUUACUGGUUGGGAUCGGUGGGGUAGCUGUGGCAUCAGCUGUAGUCUGCUUUAUCUAUUUUUUAGUUAAUCCCAAGUAGUCAGUGCAGUUCUGACCGCAGCUCUGCAGUAACAUUUAUAAAUGGUUAAUCUGUACUCUGAUAUGUAGUUAAUAUAACAUCUGUUUAAAAGCUGUAUGAAUGUGUUUGUCUCCUGCAUAUAAAGAGUUUUGAUCCCAGAUUUGACCAGGAAAUCAUCUCUGUUAUCAGUGGAAUAUGUUUGUAAUCUAAUUGUGAAUAAUAAUAAUAACAAUACUGAAUAAUCUCUUGGCAUCUUUUAUAUACUGUAGAUCUGUGAUCAAUGAUUUUCCUCAUGCUUGAACCUGUACUGUGUUACUCUUAAA